AGAGUUUGAUCCUGGCUCAGAACGAACGCUGGCGGCGUGGAUUAGGCAUGCAAGUCGAACGCGAAAGAGGGGGCAACUCCUCGAGUAGAGUGGCGAACGGGUGAGUAACGCGUGAAGAACCUGCCUUCAACAGGGGGAUAACACUCCCAACGGGGUGCUAAUACCGCAUGAGACCACGGAUCCGCAUGGAUCUGAGGUCAAAGGUGGCCUCUGCUUGCAAGCUACCGGUUGAAGAUGGCUUCGCGUCCCAUUAGCUAGUUGGCGGUGUAAAAGACCACCAAGGCGACGAUGGGUAGCUGGUCUGAGAGGAUGGUCAGCCACACUGGGACUGAGAUACGGCCCAGACUCCUACGGGAGGCAGCAGUCGAGAGGCUUUGGCAAUGGGGGAAACCCUGACCAAGCGACGCCGCGUGGAGGAUGAAGGCCCUUGGGUUGUAAACUCCUUUUGUUGGGGAAGAACUGCGAUCAGGUGAACAAUCUGGUCGUUUGACGGUACCCGACGAAUAAGCUCCGGCUAACUCCGUGCCAGCAGCCGCGGUAACACGGGGGGAGCAAGCGUUGUUCGGAAUCACUGGGCGUAAAGGGCGUGUAGGCGGUCAAGUAAGUGGAAUGUGAAAUCCCUCGGCUUACCCGAGGACCUGCAUCCCAAACUGCUUGGCUCGAGUAUGGGAGAGGAUGAGGGAAUUCCUGGUGUAGCGGUGAAAUGCGUAGAUAUCAGGAGGAACACCGGUGGCGAAAGCGCUCAUCUGGCCCAAUACUGACGCUGAGGCGCGAAAGCUAGGGGAGCAAACGGGAUUAGAUACCCCAGUAGUCC
rnacentral:rRNA from 1 species